CCUAGUUAAUUCUGCUAGUAGUUAUAUGCUUGUCUUAAAGAUUAAGCUAUGCAUGUCUAAGUAUAAGUAAUUAUACUAUGAAACUGCGAAUGGCUUAUUAAAUUAGUUAUCGUUUAUUUGAUAGUACCUUACUACUUAGAUAACUAUAGUAAUUCUAGAGCUAAUACAUGCUAAAAACCCUAACUUUAGAAGGGGUGUAUUUAUUAGAUAAAAAACUAACGCCCUUUGGGGCUUCUUAGUGAUUUAUAAUAACUUUAUGGAUCGCAUGGCCUUGCGCUAGCGACAGUUUAUUUAAAUUUCUGCCCUAUUAACUUUUAAUAGUAAGGUAUUAGCUUACUAUAGUUUUAAUAGGUAACAGGGAAUUAGGGUUUGAUUCUAGAGAGGGAGCCUAAGAAAUGGCUACUAUAUCUAAGGAAGGCAGCAGGCGCGCAAAUUACCUAAUCCUAAUAUAGGGAGGUAGUGACAAUAAAUACUAAUAUAGGGCUCUUUUAGGUCUUGUAAUUAGAAUAAGUAUAAUUUAAACCUCUUAAUAAGGAACAAUUAGAGGGCAAGUCUAGUGCUAGUAGCUAUAGUAAUUCUAGCUCUAAUAGCGUAUAUUAAAGUUGUUGCAGUUAAAAAGCUUGUAGUUAAAACUUAGGUCUGGCUAGCAGGUCCGCCUUACCGCGUGUACUUGUCCAGCCGGGCCUUCCUUCUAGAGAACCUUAUGCCCUUUACUAGGCGUGUUAGGGACUAGGACUUUUACUUUAAAAAAAUUAGAGUGUUUAAAGCAGGCCUUUGCUUAAAUACGUUAGCAUAGAAUAAUAGAAUAGGACGUGCGGUCCUAUUUUAUUAGUUUCUAGGACCACUGUAAUAAUUAAUAGGGAUAGUUAGGGGCAUUAGUAUUUAAUUGUUAGAGGUGAAAUUCUUAGAUUUAUUAAAGACUAACUACUACAAAAGCAUUUGCUAAGGAUAUUUUUAUUAAUUAGUGAAUAAAAGUUAGGGGAUUAAAGAUAAUUAGAUACCGUCGUAGUCUUAACUAUAAACUAUGCUAACUAGGGAUUAGGCAAUAUUCUUUUUCUAACUUGCUUGGCACCUUAUAAGAAAUUAAAGUUUUUGGGUUCUAGGGGGAGUAUAGUCGCAAGGCUGAAACUUAAAGAAAUUAAUAGAAGGGCACCACUAGGCGUGGAGCCUGCGGCUUAAUUUAACUUAACACGGGGAAACUCACUAGGUCUAGAUAAAAUA
rnacentral:rRNA from 3 species